UUGGACUUUAUGGUGUUUAUUCUGUUUGAUGUAUGAGUGUUUGAGAGAGAAAGAGAAGGAGGGAGUGGGUUGAAACUGAUUUCCAAGCAGAGGAAGUGUUUACAGGACGGCAGCUGUGCGGACAGAGACGCUCAACGUCAGACUGUAAACUCCAGACUGACUCCAGAUACUGUGACAAGUGAUGUUUGCAAUGCAAAGUUUUCAUAGAUCUCAGUGCUGCUGUCGGUUCAAGACAUCAAAAACUCCAAUCUGCACAUUACAGGUUUGUUUUUUUAAUUACAGCUUUUACAAUCAUUUUCAUUAUUGUCAUCAUAUUAUGUCACUACUCUCCAGUAAUAUGAAAUUAAAUCAUAACACAAUGUGUUUUUUUUUCUUCUCCAAAAUGUACACAUACAAGUAGCAUAUCUUAAAUGUCCAUAGUUUAAAACAUAUUUCCUUUUUAUCAACCGCAAAAUGAAAUUACAGUCAGCCUUAAAACUGAGUAUGAAAUGAACGUACGGUUUAAUACACACACACAUACGAACUGUACAUACAUACAUACAAUAGCAGUUAUCAUAAAAAUGAUAAAAAUAAAACACACACGUUUUACAAAGUCCUGACCCGAGCGUCCACAUCUUUAGAUGACUGAUAUCAUGAAGUUCACUCUGAAAUGACAGAUUUUGGCAUGCAUAUUAACACAAAUGCUCCCUAUCUAAACUGUUUGUUUAUUUUUUAAGUCCUGGUUGGAUCAGGAGUUUCUCAUAAAGCACUUUUCCCAACUCUCUCGUCAUUGGUCCUGUUCACAUUUGUGCAUCUCAGUUCCUCUAUGGCUUCAGAACACGCGCACACACACACGCACACACACGCACACACACACACGUCAGUUAUCCGCCGGAGUGUCUUCUCCUUUCAGACUCAGAUCAUCUGAAAAUAUAUCGACCGUUUCACUCGAUCUGAACAGGAAUGCAUUUCUUAAAUCGUAAAUUCGUUGUGUCAAUAUUGCCGUCUCACGCUCAGAAAAAGAAGAUGAAUU